AAUCAUCAGCCUCGAGGACAAGGCUGAUUUGAAGAGGACGGGUCUGUUAGGACUCUAGCUUGGAGAGUCCUAAUUGAGAGGAACAUUCAUGUAAAACUGUUAGGACUCUAGCUAAGAGAGUCCUAAUUGAGAGGGACAUUCUGUUAGAACUCUAGCUACGAGAGUCCUAAUUGAGAGGGGCAUUCAUGUAGGAGGUUUUUUUCUUAGAGAAGAAUUAGGAGUUGUAAGGGAAUAGGAGUCUUGAGUAGGAGUCCUAUUAGGAGUUGGUUAGAAGUAAG
rnacentral:lncRNA from 1 species